rnacentral:pre_miRNA from 1 species
AAUCUACUCCCUCCGUUCAGAAAUACUUGUCAUUAAAAUGGAUGUAUUUAGAUGUAUUUUAGUUCCAGAUACAUUCAUUUUCAUCCAUUUUGAUGACAAGUAAUUCUGGACGGAGGGAGUAGUUA